UAAAGGGUGAACCAGGUUUCAUUGGUCCACAAGGAGAACCUGGGUUGCCAGGGCUGCCAGGAACAAAGGGUGACAGAGGAGAGGCAGGCCCACCUGGGAAGGGUGAGAGGGGUGAACCUGGACUUCCUGGACUAAAGGGGAAAACAGGUGAACCUGGAUCUAGAGGCCCAAAAGGGUCAAAGG